UAAUUGGUAGCGCGGCUGAUUCCAAAUCAGUAGGUUGGGGGUUCGAAUCCCUCUGCUCC
rnacentral:tRNA from 1 species